UACGUAGGGUGCGAGCGUUAAUCGGAAUUACUGGGCGUAAAGCGUGCGCAGGCGGUUUUGUAAGCCAGAUGUGAAAUCCCCGGGCUUAACCUGGGAAUGGCAUUUGGGACUGCAAGGCUUGAGUGCGGCAGAGGAGACUGGAAUUCCUGGUGUAGCAGUGAAAUGCGUAGAGAUGUGGAGGAAUACCGAUGGCGAAGGCAGCCCCCUGGGAUGACACUGACGCUCAUGCACGAAAGCGUGGGGAGCAAACAGG
rnacentral:rRNA from 1 species